AUCCAGCUGACGAAUCCCAAACAGGACGAAUCGCGCGUUCUGGAU
rfam:Schistosoma margrebowiei strain Zambia genome assembly, scaffold: SMRZ_scaffold0002827